rnacentral:rRNA from 2 species
GCCUAAAGCAUCCGUAGCCGGUUGCAUCAAGUUUUCGGUUAAAUCUACAGCGCUUAACGUAUGGGCCGCCGAAAAUACUGUGCAGCUAGGGAGUGGGAGAGGUACACGGUACUCAAUAGGAAGGGGUAAAAUCCUUUGAUCUAUUGAUGACCACCUGUGGCGAAGGCGGUCUACCAGAACACGUUCGACGGUGAGGGAUGAAAGCUGGGGGAGCAAACCGGAUUAGAUACCCGGGUAGUCCCAGCUGUAAACGAUGCAGACUCGGUGAUGCAUUGGCUUGUGGCCAAUGCAGUGCCGCAGGGAAGCCGUUAAGUCUGCCGCCUGGGAAGUACGUACGCAAGUAUGAAACUUAAAGGAAUUGGCGGGGGAGC